UAUGGUAUGUUUUGUUGCAUGGCACAAAGAAGUGCCAUCAGUGCUGGACCUUGGCAAUCUUGCGUUCCUAGGUGAAGGUUGCCCCCCAUUCUGUCUCAGCAUUUGACCCCAUCACCUCGUUUCUAAAACUAGAUCACCUGAUUGCAUCCAACAUUGCUACGGUUUUACUUUGGGUGGGCAUGAUAUUUGGUUAGAGCCGUGGAACUAAGCAGAUUGAUCUCCUUCCAUACAAGGUACACACAUAGUGUUGCCACCUUUUCUUGAAAAAAAAAUACUGGCCUUCCUAUGUUUUUAUGCAUUUUCCCUAUUAAUAAAAUUGGGAUCAAGCUUCAUUUUUAUCGGCCAGACAGGUAAAAUACCGGGCAGGUGGCAACCCUAUACACACAUCAAGUAGAAUAUCAGCACAGGAAAGAAGACAAAUGAGGGUGUUAGAAAAGGAUAGAUAUAUUAAUAAAACUGCUCCCCUUUUGAUUAUGCACCCGAGGCUUCUGCCUACCCCUAGUUCCAGCCCUGAAACCACAGUAAAAUGUGGUAUUUCUGGGUAUUUGGCUAAUAAAGUGAUAGAAAUUCACAGAUCAGUUUUUUUUUGUGAUAUACCAUAUUGCCUUUUGACAGGGAUAAGGUACUGGAGUGAGGGAGGGAGCAGCAGCUGUCCAAACACAGAGCAGGGCUAGGGGACACUGCUGCCUUCCUCCAGGGCUCAGUACUUUGAUCUGACUGAGUAGAGAGACCUCCAGUGUACAGAAUUAACCCUUGAUAGCUGCACGAGCUUGCAGAAAGAGGACUUUAAAAAAUAGCACAUUUAGAAAUGAUUUCUACAUUAAUCAUUUUUAUUCAAAGGUUGGCUCCUUCUUUCAGCAGCCCUAAAACUUUCUUCCGACACAGGCAUAACUUAUUUUCCAGGUUCUUAUACUUUCCUUUUGCAGAUUGAAGAUAUUGUGAAUGUGCAGUUUGCUGCUUCGUGGAGCAAAGUACUUGAUGUACAUGUGCAAGAACACCCUGCAGAUGGCACAUGCACUGCAUCCUGGGAAUUCAGUGUGGUAGAAAAUACAAGAUCUAUGCCGCAACUGAAUUCAGAACCAUUGCUACUAGAUCCACCCUACUGAAAGUCAAAAUUUCCUGAGGCCCCUCUUAGCAUGUAACCUGGCCGUACUUUCCUGUGUUGAUUUCAAUGUUCUUCAUUCAACAAACCAGGUCUGUUUCAUAUGUUAAUGAAUGUAAGCCGAUAUAGUGCUGAGCAACUGAAACUAGGAGCUUUAGCUGCACUGCUACAAGAAUAAUGGCUACGGAAAACAAAAAAGGUGUAAACUUCAGUGAAAUGAAAUAACUGGGACAUGUUCUGAAACCGACACGUGGCAAGCAAAGCACAGAUCAAACAUAAAGAAUAUGGGAGUAGAGGUGGCUUUUAAUUGUAGAGGUUAUAGAAAAUCAAAACUCCUGCAGUAAGGGUGUUUGGUAGUUACCUGCCAUACAGUCCCAUGGAAAAUCUAGCUACAGUUAGCAAUACAAUAAAACAGGACAAACUAAAUAAAACUACAUAUUUUCCAUUGAUUAGACUGUAGACCGGGGCCAGUUCUAACUUUGAAUAAAUGAGGGGCCAGCCAUGUAGAGCAAACUUAUGUAAAAACAGAAAGAGUUACUUUAAAACUAUAGUAAUUUAUACUAAUUUACAUAUCUUAUGUAUCAAUCAAUAACAAAGUAUAGUAAUUACCAGGGAUAGGCAUGUGUGUAGGAUUUAGAUUUAGGGCAAAGUCCACUGACCACUAAUGAAUUCACUGACUUAAGCAAAUUAAUUACUUAAACUAUUAUCAUGAACUACUUAUUAUAGAGUAACAUUGGCUAUUUAUAUUGUCACCAAUUCACUUCAUGUACUGUAGGUGAUAACUCAUAUAGUGAACUGACCAGUUAUUGGCCCCACAGCUAAGGUUCCAGAGUAAAAUCUGGGGAAACAAAAGAACAUGGCCAUUAUUUCUGCUCUUGGGAUUCCAUAUUUACCCCUCCUCUUACCUAUUCCUGAGAUUACCUACCUUAUGUAAUUCUGCACCUUCAUAGUAUUGUGUUCUCUAUUUUGAUUUGUUGUGCUUUCUCUAUAAAACUCUCAUUUCGUUAUAUUUUCUGAAGCAUUCCAUCUACUCAUCCUUCCUUUUCCUCUGCCCAAUUUUCUUUUUACCCCCUUUUCUUAAUCUUCUCCUCUAACUCAGUACACAGUAUAACAACACACAAAGGGCAACUAUACCCCCUCCCUUUCUUACUACUGUAUCUGUUCCUUGUAUUUAUUUAUUCUUUGCUGCCCAUUGCUUUCCUCUACUUUGUUUCUUUGCUUCGUUAUUUUUCUUUUCUUAUUUCCAUCUCUGCCAUCAUUUAGCUGCAGCAAUGCUAUAAUAAUUUAUCUGAUUGGCUUGCAAAGUAACUGAACUAGUGCACCUCAAAUAUUUUUACCCAGUUAAGUAUGUGAAUUUCUGGUUCUUAACAAUGCUGAGCCACAGGAAUGGAAUUUAUGCAAGAGUCUAGACAGCAUAGCAAAGGUUAAAAGUGGCCAAAAACAGCCGGGGGAGAAGACAAAGCAGUGUGCACUUCUCAAGUUACAAUACUGAGUGGAGUGAUGGCACUUGAGGGUUCAUGGUUGAAUCUCUGCAGACUCUACAAUCCCAAUUCUUUUCUCAGCAUUAUAUAUUAAGUACCACCCCAUGAUUAAUGUAUGAUUUUGGGGUAGGUUGAAGAAUGUGUGUAAGCAUACUCCAGUUUAUAUAUGUAGCCAUAUUUAUGAUUGUCUUGACAUGUCUUAUUUAUGUAUUUUCUUGGUGCAAAUAAAGACAUUUAAAAAAAAAAGUACCAAAGAUCAAAAUA